rnacentral:rRNA from 1 species
UACGUGGGGGGCAAGCGUUGUUCGGAAUUAUUGGGCGUAAAGGGUGCGUAGGCGGCGCGGUAUGUCUCUUGUGAAAUCUCCAGGCUCAACUUGGAGUCUGCAAGGGAAACUGCCGUGCUUGAGUACUGGAGAGGUGAGUGGAAUUCCCGGUGUAGCGGUGAAAUGCGUAGAUAUCGGGAGGAAGACCGGUGGCGAAGGCGGCCUGCUGGGCAGUUUCUGACACUGAGGCGCGACAGCGUGGGGAGCAAACAGG